rnacentral:rRNA from 1 species
UAAGGAAUAUUGGUCAAUGGACGCAAGUCUGAACCAGCCAUGCCGCGUGAAGGAUGAAGGUCCUCUGGAUUGUAAACUUCUUUUAUCUGGGACGAAAACGGGAUUUUUAUCUCAAUUGACGGUACCAGAGGAAUAAGCACCGGCUAACUCCGUGCCAGCAGCCGCGGUAAUACGGAGGGUGCGAGCGUUAUCCGGAUUUACUGGGUUUAAAGGGUGCGUAGGUGGGCUUAUAAGUCAGUGGUGAAAUCUCCGAGCUUAACUUGGAAACUGCCGUUGAUACUAUAGAUAGUGAAUUAUCUGGAGGUAAGCGGAAUAUGUCAUGUAGCGGUUAAAUGCUUAGAUAUGACAUAGAACACCAAUUGCGAAGGCAGCUUACUACAUAUAAAUUGACGCUGAGGCACGAAAGCGUGGGGAUCAAAC